ensembl:lncRNA
AGCCGCACUUUUCUCUUCCGACAGCACAGCCCGCUCGAUGCCGACCCGCGGCCCUGCCUCCGCCAACUUUAAAUGCCCUCCCACCUCUUCUAACACAGUGUCUUCUACAGUCCUCGGAGCGUAUUCAAUGCCUGAAGACUUGUUGAUAACCUCCUCUCCCUCUGCUUCUACCCCCACUCCGGUCUCCUCCACAGAUCCCGUCACGGUCUCCCCUUCCCCCUCCUCAACUCCUUUGCCCUCCUCAGAAACAUAUUCCACUGCAUCCACCACUGCUACCUCCUGCUCCUCUCCAGCAUCGUUAUCGUCGCCCUGGGCAACCACAUCUUCUCCCUCCACCGCCUUCUCCAACACCUCUGCAUUUGUUUCCACCUCCUCUUUUUCAGGCUCAAGGGCAUCCUCCUCCCGUACUGCUUCCUCAUCUGCUUUCACUUCUCCUGCUACUUCCACCUGCCCCCAAGCUGCCUCCACCACCCUCUCCAGCAGCACCUUCAGCACUUCCUCCGCCCCACGGGUCUCCACCUGCUCUGAGGCCUCCUGCACGGCCUGCUGUACUUCCUUCAGGCUGGGGGGGGCCACCGCAGGUACCACCUCUGCAGGGGGCUCUGGUUCUUGGAGGACGGUUGGCCCAUCAUGCAAGGGCACCACUGUGGAGGACUGGAUGGAGGAUUAGGUCUGAAAGGUUAAUACGGUCACAUGAGCUUCACGGUGUGCUUUGUGCUACCAGGCAGUAGCACUGCAUACUUGUGACUGGGCUGGAGGGAGGGAUUGUUACCAUGAAGCUAAGUGUGCUUAUACCAACAAUUUCUUACAGUUCCGCACCUUUUUACAUUUCUCACAUACACUUGACACUUAAUGAAAUCAACCUACUGUCAUUUGUUUAAUGGUUUAAAAUAUUUUACCAUACAUUUCAUGUUUUAAAUGUGUUUAUUUUGUCUUAUAUCACUGCACUGUGUUCAUAGGGUUGCACCAAUAAUAAAGGCAAAUUCUGUUCCGCAACGUUCUUGGCAAUAAACUUUCUUUUCUCUACAUACAGAGUCCCACAGUACACAGAACCCGUGCAUAAAUGCUCUAAAGUCAGUAAAAAAAACGGAUCAAGGUGAAUUUUACACACAAAUGUUUCUGAUUCCAAACUAUGUCUUAGCUUGUAAAAAAAAGAGAUUUCUCUAUUAUUACUUGAAAGUUAAAUUGCAUAUUUUAACUUCUCUCUCUCUCUGUUGCGGCUUUCCUGAGGUUUUUGUGGCUUCUGAUGCGGCUCUGUUUGGGGGGGGGCACCCUGUGCUGUGAGGCCAUAGGACAUGCUGUCUGUAUUUCACAUGUCACCGUUGGUAUUUCAGACGUGCUCUCCAUGAAGCGAGGGAGCUG